AGAGUUUGAUCCUGGCUCAGAUUGAACGCUGGCGGCAUGCCUUACACAUGCAAGUCGAACGGCAGCACGAGAGCUUGCUCUUGGUGGCGAGUGGCGAACGGGUGAGUAAUAUAUCGGAACGUACCCUAGAGUGGGGGAUAACGUAGCGAAAGUUACGCUAAUACCGCAUACGAUCUACGGAUGAAAGUGGGGGAUCGCAAGACCUCAUGCUCAUGGAGCGGCCGAUAUCUGAUUAGCUAGUUGGUGGGGUAAAAGCUCACCAAGGCGACGAUCAGUAGCUGGUCUGAGAGGACGACCAGCCACACUGGAACUGAGACACGGUCCAGACUCCUACGGGAGGCAGCAGUGGGGAAUUUUGGACAAUGGGCGCAAGCCUGAUCCAGCAAUGCCGCGUGAGUGAAGAAGGCCUUCGGGUUGUAAAGCUCUUUUGUCAGGGAAGAAACGGUGGACUCUAAUACAGAUCACUAAUGACGGUACCUGAAGAAUAAGCACCGGCUAACUACGUGCCAGCAGCCGCGGUAAUACGUAGGGUGCAAGCGUUAAUCGGAAUUACUGGGCGUAAAGCGUGCGCAGGCGGUUGUGCAAGACAGAUGUGAAAUCCCCGGGCUCAACCUGGGAAUUGCAUUUGUGACUGCACGGCUAGAGUGUGUCAGAGGGGGGUAGAAUUCCACGUGUAGCAGUGAAAUGCGUAGAGAUGUGGAGGAAUACCGAUGGCGAAGGCAGCCCCCUGGGAUAACACUGACGCUCAUGCACAAAAGCGUGGGGAGCAAACAGGAUUAGAUACACUGGUAGUCCACGCCCUAAACGAUGUCUACUAGUUGUCGGGUCUUAAUUGACUUGGUAACGCAGCUAACGCGUGAAGUAGACCGCCUGGGGAGUACGGUCGCAAGAUUAAAACUCAAAGGAAUUGACGGGGACCCGCACAAGCGGUGGAUGAUGUGGAUUAAUUCGAUGCAACGCGAAAAACCUUACCUACCCUUGACAUGUCUGGAAUCCUUGAGAGAUCAGGGAGUGCUCGAAAGAGAAUCAGAACACAGGUGCUGCAUGGCUGUCGUCAGCUCGUGUCGUGAGAUGUUGGGUUAAGUCCCGCAACGAGCGCAACCCUUGUCAUUAGUUGCUACGAAAGGGCACUCUAAUGAGACUGCCGGUGACAAACCGGAGGAAGGUGGGGAUGACGUCAAGUCCUCAUGGCCCUUAUGGGUAGGGCUUCACACGUCAUACAAUGGUACAUACAGAGGGCCGCCAACCCGCGAGGGGGAGCUAAUCCCAGAAAGUGUAUCGUAGUCCGGAUUGUAGUCUGCAACUCGACUACAUGAAGUUGGAAUCGCUAGUAAUCGCGGAUCAGCAUGUCGCGGUGAAUACGUUCCCGGGUCUUGUACACACCGCCCGUCACACCAUGGGAGCGGGUUUCACCAGAAGUGGGUAGCCUAACCGCAAGGAGGGCGCUCACCACGGUGGAAUUCGUGACUGGGGUGAAGUCGUAACAAGGUA
rnacentral:rRNA from 1 species